rnacentral:rRNA from 1 species
UACGUAGGGUGCGAGCGUUAAUCGGAAUUACUGGGCGUAAAGCGUGCGCAGGCGGUUUUGUAAGCCAGAUGUGAAAUCCCCGGGCUUAACCUGGGAAUGGCAUUUGGGACUGCAAGGCUGGAGUGCGGCAGAGGAGACUGGAAUUCCUGGUGUAGCAGUGAAAUGCGUAGAUAUCAGGAGGAAUACCGAUGGCGAAGGCAGGUCUCUGGGCUGACACUGACGCUCAUGCACGAAAGCGUGGGGAG